UGACUGGGGCGGUCUCCUCCCAAAGCGUAACGGAGGAGCACGAAGGUUAGCUAAUCCUGGUCGGACAUCAGGAGGUUAGUGCAAUGGCAUAAGCUAGCUUGACUGCGAGCGUGACGGCGCGAGCAGGUGCGAAAGCAGGUCAUAGUGAUCCGGUGGUUCUGAAUGGAAGGGCCAUCGCUCAACGGAUAAAAGGUACUCCGGGGAUAACAGGCUGAUACCGCCCAAGAGUUCAUAUCGACGGCGGUGUUUGGCACCUCGAUGUCGGCUCAUCACAUCCUGGGGCUGAAGUAGGUCCCAAGGGUAUGGCUGUUCGCCAUUUAAAGUGGUACGCGAGCUGGGUUUAGAACGUCGUGAGACAGUUCGGUCCCUAUCUGCCGUGGGCGCUGGAGAAUUGAGGGGGGCUGCUCCUAGUACGAGAGGACCGGAGUGGACGCAUCACUGGUGUUCGGGUUGUCAUGCCAAUGGCACUGCCCGGUAGCUAAAUGCGGAAGAGAUAAGUGCUGAAAGCAUCUAAGCACGAAACUUGCCCCGAGAUGAGUUCUCCCUGAGACUU
rnacentral:rRNA from 3 species